GAGGUUUGGGUCACAAUCUAGACACUGAAGUGUUGACUUCCUACCAAAAUUAAAUUUAGAUGUCAAAGUCAUGUGCCAAGAUAUUUAAAUUCACUGACUCUCUCAAAUCUAGAUUUGUUUAAAGUCUAAAAUAUUGCAAGUCAAUAUUUCUGGUUCAAGAGAGCACGAUCAGCUUUGUUUCACUGGCAUAAAGAAGCAGUCUGAGACAUUUAAGAACAUUUAAAGCAAGAUGCAAGAUCUUGGAGGCUUUCUGUACAGAAUCAGCAAUACAAUACAGGAUAGUAUCAUCUGCAUGAAAAUCAGCAUGACAAGUAGUCAAAGAACACAGGAUGUCAGUCAGUGCGUUUACAUGCACAGCUCGUCGGACUAAGUUCAUAGUUUGUUUUUCUCACCAAAUCGGACUUCUCUCCUUGUCUGUGUUUACAUGCAGCAAAGAAAAUUGAAUUAUUGACGUGAACUUUUCCUCUUUCCCAAAACUAGAGAGUAAAAUGGGUCUUUUCAGCAGCGCUGUUUCCGACCUCAUACAACUGUCAACAACAACAGCAGGUCAGACGUCAGAAGUGGCUUCAACUGCUGCUGAGCAUUUUCGAGCAAGAAGAUGGAGCAUCGUACAGCUUUGUUAUUGUCGUACAUGAUGUACGCACUACUUUUUCUAUGCUGGUUACGUCCAGCGUGGGUGUCUGAAUCGGAGUUCUCCAACUCCAAUCAAAGUUCUCAAACUCCGAUUAUAGCUGGACUAAGGUGUUUACAUGCACUUCAGUUGUCCAGUCUUAAUCGGAGUAAGGCAAUAAUUUGGUUUUCUCGAGUGUCAUGUAAACGUAUUGACUGAUGGUGAACAGCAUGGGGCCUAACAUUGAUCCAUGUGGCACACCUUUAGCAAUGAACAGAAUUCAGGUUCAGCCGGGUUCCCAAACCUCCAAACUCGGCUGCUGCAGUCCCUUCCUGUUUGCCUUGAAUUCAAUCUGGUGCCUGUUUACAUUACUACAGGAGAAGAUGAGGGAAGUUUGAAAAAGCUGGUAAUAUAUGCGUUUGAAGUCCAUAGUAUCAGAUUAGAGUCCAAAGGAGCCUUUGAUCAUGUCAGUUUUUCCAUUCUGGGCUGUUUCUGUAGUUUUUUUAAAGCUUUAGAUAAAGCCGACUCUGUGUCAGUUUCUGUGCGUUUAAAGGACUUUGAGGUGGAAACCCUGACAGGCUGUGUAUUUAAAAAUCUGUAACGUCAGUUUCUAAGAUUAUCUGCUUGGCACAGUUACCUCCCUUACACCCUUUUCUCCUCUUUCAUGGAAAGUUGUGCACUGUAUUGUUAGGACUUUAAAUUCAGCCGGAUAGUUUCCCCACAAUCUUACAAAAUUGUAAAAGAAGCAGCUCUUUUUUAUGAUCCGAAGACAAGUCUUGACAGUAUCUUUAUAGCUUGAAAUUUCAUUUAAGUGAGGAGCUGGAGGCAGCUGGUUUUAUUUUGAUUAGAGCAACUUAUUUUGUCUCCAAGAAUUAACGGUGCCGUUUGUAGAUAGUGCUGGAGUGUCACUUUCUUCUGCAGGGACUUAUUUUAUUACCAUGUGAUAAUGCUCUUUAGGAUAUGCCAAGGCUUCAUUUAGACGCUGUUAUUUAUAGAGAUUAUAAUUUUGCCACCGCUGAAGUAAAAAUGAGGAGAGGGAUUUGCUUUCAGCUAAUGAGCGCUUCUGCUCAGCUAAUAUCAAGGACAAAGAUGUGAACUUAGAGGUAAGCCUAUUACAUCCUCUGUUGCACCCUCCUUAUUAUCUCUAAAUAGAGUUUGGACAGCUGAUUAUUACAACAAUUUAUAUUCCACCCUUCAGUGAUGGCAGUAAUCCCUCCAAGAUUAACCAGCCAACCCGUGUUUGAAAUACAGUCCAUGAUACAGGAGCUCUUCAGCUCGAGUGUUUAGUGUAGCCUGGAGAAAUUUUAAUAUGCAAUGUUUAUGAGAUUAGGACACAAUCACAUGGACGGACAUGACAUUUAUUAUAAUUCAUCAUGAAUACUGUAUGAGCUCAUUAUGGGAGUGUUAUUAAUUUAACAGAGACCAAAGAGAAUACUCACCCCCUAAAGCCUUUGCUUAUUAUAAACUCUAUACCAUCACAUUAAUGCUUUAAUUAUGAUUAUCUUCUAUUAAUGAUGUGUGGGGGGCGAGUGUAAUGAAAUGCUGUUUUCACUUGACCAACCCGAGUACGUCUGAUAUGAUUGGUUAAAAACAGAUACGGAUGAAUACUUCAUUAACGCUUCAGGAAUAUGAACAUGCAGCAUUGCAUCAUGGAGUGCAUUAAAGUGAAACUAAAAAACAAUCAUAGAGAUUAGAAUGGUGAAAAGCUGAAGACAAAAGGAAAACACCUUGAAGAAAUAGAGAAAAUUAACUUCAGUUUGACAGUUUACCUUUCAAAAUAAAAGUCACAAGGUGUGUGAGUUUGUAAGCAAGAGUAGAGGAGAUAAAGGAAACAGAAUUUGUAAUUUACUUUUCAAUACAAACAUUAAAAUGUGCAAUAGUAGCAAGUGAGUUAGCAAGUUUACAAGUCAGCAAAUACAAAAGUCAUAAAGUGCACAAGUACGUGGGUGAAUAAGUGAGAAAGUAAGCAGGUAAAAGAGUAACUAAAUAGGGAAAUGAGUAAGUUGGUAGAUAAGUGAAUAGGAAAGUAAGUAAAUAAGUGACUAAGUGAGCAAGUAUGUAAGUGAGUUUCAUUUACAAUUCGUCAUUCAAACAAAAGUUAAUUACCAAUACCAUAAUUACCACAAUAAAUAAGCUAGUGAGUAAGGAAGAAAGGAAGAGAGUGAUUAAGAAAGAGAGUAAAUAAGCUAGUUAGCUAAUAAGUAAGUACUCCAAAAAUAAGUUAGUUUAACAUGUAUGUAAUUAAGCAAGAAUAUAAGUGAGUAAGAUAGUAAGUACUUAAUAGCUAGGGUAGGAAGUGAGUAAGUGAGACACAAAGUAAGUAAAUAACUGACUUACACAAGUCAGGAAGAAAAUAAGCAAGUAAGGAGUAGAUAUGUUAGUAAAGAAGUUAAUAAAAAUAUGAAAUUAGUGAGAAAGUACGUAAAUGAGAUGGUUCGUAAAGAUGUUAAACAAGUCACUUUGUCAAUAAGUGAGUGAGAUAGGAAUUCAAUUAUUUAGUUACUAAGUUAGUCGGUGAGAUAAUGUACAAGUAAGCUAGUAUGUAAGUUCAUAUGUUAAUUGAGUUAGUAUGUAUGUAAUGGAAAGUGACAAAGCAUUUUUGUAAGUAAGUUAGUAAAAGAAGUAAUUCAGAGUCUGUCAGUCAGUAUAAAUGAAUAAAUAGAUGAAUGUUUGCCGUUAAAGAUGACAUAGGCCGCAGUUAUUUUAGAUGCUCUUGAAAGGGGUAAGAAAACUUAGGGGUCCCGCUCAGUCGAGGGCCAAUUACCUUUGGUCAAAAGCCGAGUUAAAGGGUCUGAGCUGAACAGUCACAUGGAGGCCCUCGACAUCAGUUGGUUUCAUGUCAGCUUUACCAUGUCACCAUAGAGGCGUAUUCUGGCUUUAUGAGGAGAAAGAGCCCAAAAAAAGAAAUAGUGCCACUCUGAUCAAAAACCCUUUCAUUUCAUCUAAUGUGUUUGCAGGAUCUAAUUUGUCUGUGUCUUGGUGUCCAGUAUUGUUAGUCGUCUGCUUUUUGUUGCUUCAAUAUGUCCAUUUUCCUCUAAUAACUGAGGAAAUUUCCCAUCAGGGAGCACACAGUUGAUCUUACUGUAUCUUAAAGGCCAAAACAGAGCCGACACCCUUAGGACAUGUACUUUAAUUAUCUGAUCAUUACUUCCCAGUCCCAUCAUUUAUCACCAACUUUCUAUUUAAUCACCCGAAUCUUAACCAUGGUAAUAAAAGUUAAUGCACAUUGAAGAAAUAGCAAACACAUCUUGAUUUCUUGGUAUGUCUUCAGAGUGUAAUAAUCUUAGCACUAGCCCGGACCCAAAAUGUCUAGUGAGAAUUAACUUAACCUGCUGUUAUAAAUGAAGUGACUUGAGCCAUAGCGGCAUAAACCAUCAUCCUCGUCCAUUCCGACUAGCAGCACACACCCAACAGGUUUUUGUGUUAUUAUUGCAAAGAGCACUUGUGCACCAUUGUCAUUCUAACAAACUUCACAACAAAUGUGGCAUAAAGCCUGAAAGAGCUGUGCAGAUGAGCAGCUGUUAAACCAUCUGUCUGCUCUGUUUACUGUGAGAAAAUGGAAAUGAUCUGAAAGCUGGGUAUGUUUCAUGUUUAAAAAUGAUGUUGAUUGUUUCAUUUGAUGCUCUGCAUGGAUUACAAGGAUGUGCAGGACCCUGGAUGUUGACCUUUCUGCCUCUGUUACUGAAUUUGAGUGUUUUCUCUCUCUGGUUUUGGCUGAGCUGAACAUGAAAAACAAAUGCAAUGACAAGAGCACUUUAUCUUUGAUUUUUUUGGCUUAAUAAUAUGAACGCUUCCCUUUUUUCCCAUACAUAAGCUAGAGUAGAACAAAGUGUUUUAUAUACUAUAGAAGUACACAAUUGAUUGGUUGUUUAUUGCAGUGAAUAAUGUCAAGUGUUCGAUGCACAGAAACACUGGAUUGACGAGAAGCUCCUUCUGCAGAUCGCUGAUCCUCUAAAGCCUUCAAACGUACAGUGAAAAUGGAAAUGUGUCUCUUUGAGGGAGGAUGAGACCAGUGCCAGCUCUUCAUCAGCAGAUUCCCCCUUUUCCACUCCUCAUCCAGCCGUUAUUUUCAGCGCUGUGAUCAUCGAGCAGUCCACUCUGCGUCAGUUCUAUAUCAUUCACACCACCCUGACAUGAAAAUGAGAAUUUCUCUGAGUCUGAAGAUAAUGAGCAGAUGCUGUGCUGACUGCAGUUCAAACUGCUAUAACACACAUUCAGGUUUUCUGAAGGUGGCUAUUUCCAGACUGAGCUGGUGAAAUUUCCAGAGCUGAACUCAAAGGUUGUUAUCAUACCUUAUCAGCUCAUGUUUGCCGGGUUGAAAAAGUGACAAGUCUAGACCAACAUGGCUUUGUCAUUGCUUGUACUUUUGUAUCAUUUUUGCAUUUUAAUGUCACUCAAGAGACUGAAAAUUGUGCUGCAUGCAACCAGCAUCUUUAUGAACUGUUCCCUUGAGUGCACUACAAUACUAUCCACACACCACACAAACUUCAUUCACUACUACUACUACUACUACUCACUCUGAGCAUGACUACAUACUCCAUGCACUACUGUACACUCUGUGCAGUCCAUUCACUUCACUCAAUCCUACAUACUCCAAGCACUACAUGCAUUCAAUGCACUACUACAUAUUCCACACACUACUUCACACUCCGUAAAAUACUUCCCACUACUGUGCUGUUCAGUCACUACUGUGCAUGACAACACACUCCAAGCCCCUCUCUGCACUAUUACUCACUGCUGUGUACUCCAAGUACUUCAUGCACUGCUAUGCACUCCACUUACUAAUAUAUGCAUAACUAUGCACUACUCCACUCUCUAUGCAGCAGUACCCAUCACUAAAUACUACUAUGCACUCUAACCCUCACCCAUACCUGCCAACACCCCUGGAACUCUCCCGUAUUCCAGACCUAUCUCCCGCCAACCUCCCGUAUUGUCAUUUCUCCUGGGAAUCUCCUGUAGUUUGCAUAGUUCACAUUCAUUCAUGAAUUGGAUCACUAUAUUUGUCCAAAGUUGCCAGACAACCGAAGAUUGUCCUGUGUUUCUGCUGAGCCUAACAGACACUGGAUUGAUACUUUUACUUUACAGUUUAGGAUGAUUCAGGUCAGUUUAAGCUGUAAACUAUAUUAAAGCAGUGUUUGUUGCAAAAUGAACAUUUCAAUGAAAGGGAAACAAACAAGAGAUAUAAUAUUUACGUUGAUAGUCUUUCACCGUCUCGGAGUGAUGCGUUCAGGGCAACCUCAGAUAAAGGAAUGCUGUAUUGCACGCACAGAUGUUCAGAGAGACUCAUACUGGAGAGCAUGUAAAAUGUAGUGGACUACAUAAAUUCAAGGCAUAUCGUAGCUAUAAUUAUUAUUUUUUAUUACCAUUUGUUAUUGUUAAAAAAAAAAAAGUUUGCCGCUUAACUUACACUUAUUUGGAUGAGCAAUUUAAUUACAAAUACUCUCAUAAUUAGCUCAUAUCCCCCAUACAAGGAAACUUCAAAACUGCCCGGCGCACGCUGCAAAAAUCUCCCAGAUUUUUUAACCCAAAUGCUGGCAGGUAUGCCUGCCUAACCCUAACACAAUACUACAUGACUUCAUGCACUACUGAGAUGUCAUGCACUCCAUGCACCACUGCACUAUUAUGCAUUCCACCUACUACUAUGCACUAAUGAGCACUGCACUACAAGGACACCUUGCUCCCCACUCAUACUAAAAUCUAGAAAUUUACAGACUACAUUUACAGAGUUAAAGCUAUAAGUGUACACAAUUUUAGAUGGAUUCCAACACCCACAUUCACAAAUAUUCAUCAAAUUUGCUUGUUUGACCCUGUGAACUUACUGCUUCCCACCAUCACCUAUAUGGCAUGACAUAGGAAUCAGAAUGAUCAGUUUUAUCAUUUUUACAACAGAAAUAUAAACAAAGUAAAAGCACAUGCCUGUACACUGUCAGCUGUAACAUCCGUAAAAAUCUUAUUAAACUGUGUUUGAAGGAUUACAGAAAUUAACCAGCGUGACAGACAGAUGCUGCUCUAUUCAGUUUUAUGCUGACUUUUUGGGAGGGCAGAAUUAAAUCUGCAGAGCAAACACCCUGUGUAAGAAGAUCCCUUUUUGUCAUAAAAAGACAAUAUCAGCAAACACACUAAUGCCAGCUCAAUAUAUCAAACAGCCGUCAAACUGCUGAGCCUCACAAGUCUGAGUACAUUUUUUAUAUUUCUGGUGAGCACACAGGAUCUGCAGCUGAUAUUACCUCAUCCAUUCACCUGGUUCUCCACAUAAGUUUUUAUAAAGAGGAAUUCAGGUGAAGGCCGCUCCGUCUGCUUCCCCUUAGAGAAGAAAAUACAGAGAAUCUACAGGUAGAGCCGAAGCGAAGCAGGGAAUGUAAUUUCAGCAGAGAAUUAUGAUUGACGGGUUAGAAAGGAAUGAUAGGCAUGUCUUAUCUUUAUUUUUACGGGGAGAAGAGGCAAAGAGGAGGAGGAACGAGAGGGGAAGAAAAACAGGAGACUCUGUGAGUCAUUAAACACGGUAAAUGGAGUUCUGAUACACUCAGAAUCAUUUCAGACUCGGUUCCCACCGUGUGGAGUCCACAGGCAGAGUGGCACCAGAGAUAAUACCAAAUUGCAUACAUUUUAAUGGGCUUGACAGCAAGGGAUCAGAGAGUAUUAAUCCAUAGCUUUGUUGCACCACAUCCUGCUAAUGUGCCUCUUAACCAAGCUAUUACAAGCUCACUCAGACACUGACAAAUGGGAAAUAAAUGGGGAGGAGAUGGCGUCCGUAUUCUCUGUAGGUAUAAGGACAGCAUGUGUCUUCAGACUUUGGAAGUUUCGCUUUUGAAUUUGUUUCAUGGAAAUUUUCUAAUGAGAUAUGAGAAAUUACAAAUAUAGAGAAAGAAAUUUCCUAACUGUUUGACGAGGAGGGUGCCUUUUCCUUCAUGGUUAUGUUCGUCACAGCGACAAACAUAACCAGUCUGUCUGUUCUUCAGGCUCUGUCUCUGGCAUGAUCUGUCCUGUAUUUUAUUAAAUGCCUUGAUAUAACCACGAUCAACGCCUCCACCUCCUCCUGUCAGAGUUUAUUAAAGCAGAGCAGUUAUGAGAAAUCGCAUGGACAUCGAUUUCUUUUCUUUUUUAGUCACUCUAAUCAGAGACUCCGGGCCGAGGUGUAGUCAUUUUAAUUCACAGGUAAACCGCAGAACUGUCACGCAAAGAGCAACAGGCUUCAUACUGUCAAACCAAAGUUUAUUAUCUAUUUAACACUUAAGUCUGUGAUCACCUGCCCCGCGGUGCUGUUUGUGCAGCAUAGCACACACGAGGUGCAUGGAGCUCCGUGCUGAUUUAAAAUUGAAGCGGGAAAGUAGGAUCCUAUCACAGGUAACAACUGGAGACUCACGCUCGAUGAACAGUCUCUCAGAGGACAGAUAGACUUGUGUGGGAUCUCUUUUUGUUCGCUCCUUUCGCUCUUACUUCAGGAAAAGUCAGAGAUUGAGGAUUGGCGAUUGAAGUGUUGGAGGCUCUGCUGAUGGAUAAUGUAGGUGCAGCUGAAACAAAAUAAACAUAAACUAGUUUAUUUUAAACUGGGUAAAGCAAAGUCUGAGUUAGCAUGAACACUGUCCCCAACUUUAUGUUUGAGAGACCACUGAUUUUACCAGUGAGAUGCAGCUGUUGUUGGACUUGCUCAUGGAUUUAACUGAGUUUGAAAUCAGCCUGGUCGCUUUAUUUAUGAUCAGCAAGUAUUUGAUUCCAGAAAAGUCAGGAUUGUGGACAUCUAUGACGAAUCAUUUGGCUCCAACUUCUAACAGAGAUAGGGUGACCAUAUUCUAAAUCCCUAAAAAGAGGACACAACUACGCGGCGCCGGAGUCACAGAGUUGCACAAAGUUAGUUUUGAGUAGUGAUGUGUAAUCCCGGUGAAGCGUGUAUCGAGGCUUGUGUUAGUGACGUAUGCGAUGACGUUCAAAGCCUCACAAGCCGGCCGUACCACGUGACUGAGUCAAGAAAUGGUUCGCAGAUUGGAUCCCCCCGCACAAUCCAUAGACUUGUGACUUGUUAAAAAGUUGUUUUGAAUUAAAAAAAAUAAAUGUUAACGUAUUCUAUGUUGUCUCCAUAAUAAAAGCACAGUCACAAACCAAGUACCACAAGCACAUUCACAUCGCAACCCCCUCCAUAAUUUAUGUCCUUUUCCCCAUUUUGACCCUGCAACAAUGUCAUAAAGACAGACACCAUGUUAAUCACGUCAUCAUUUCUGUAUUGUAUCACAAACACAUGGCAUUACAUCCAUUCGUUCAUUCAAUUCUAAGUUUCGCGUGUCUUUGAUAAUCGCGCUGCCUAUUUUACAUUUAUUGUUCAUUUAUUGGCACAAUAGAGCAAAUGAAGCACAACAGUGAAGCUUCGGCCCAGGAGUCGAGCAAUUUGAUGGACAACUUCAAUGCUUCAAGACGCUUCAUCUGACCAUCACUAAUCUUGAGUUUUUCUGGUUGAAUCGAGAGUCUUUUACAUGCUUCUAACUCAGUAAGUUGAUGUGACACAAAUUCGAAACUUCCAUACAAAACCCAGUACAUUUUCAGGAUUUUAUAAACUUCCCAGGACAAAGCCGGACAAGGCCGGACAGCCCCCCACAGAGGUCUGACAGCUGGAUAGUGAACAGGAAACUCAGCAAGACGAGGAAAAAAGUGAUCUGUGCAUCAGAACUGGACUGCUUGACCUCUUUAGCAGAAAAAGAAAUUAAAAUCCUUUCUGUUGUUACAACCUUUUAACUCCACACUUCAUCCUUUGGGUGUAUUGUUUCAUGUUGCAUGCUGGUUGCACACUGCCAAUCAGCUGUUUGAUGAAGAUAUCAUAUAAAUAUGCAUGACUUGAUGAAUAAUGUGUAAUUAAUAUUUCCUUUCAGUAAGAACUCUGAAGCUGAUUUGAGCUUUAGGCUAACUCUCCAGACUGUUAUACAGAAGAUUUUUAUAUGGAGAGUGUUGACAGCUCGGCUCCCCUCAUUUAUACUCUGAUCCUUUCACUUAGCGCAUCAUUAAUACAUUUAUUCCCAGUUUGCGUGGAUUCAAAAUUAUACCAUAUCUGAGCGUGAGAGAAAGUAUCAGAUGAUUAAUACAAAGAAUGGAGGUUAACGAUGCACAGAAAACUCUCAGGCGGUCGUCUUCCUCCACGCUGGCAAAAACAAAAAGAUGAAAAUCUCUCGCUUGAUGUCUGUAUUCAAAAGCGUUUUCCCAAAAGCGGCAAAGCGAAAGAGCGAAGAGAGGCAGAAGAGGAGAGAGAGAAACUUCCAUAAACACAUGAAAGAAAAGCUGGGCUCCCUGUGUUGCAGCUCAGAGAGUAAUCAUAGAUUAUUAACAUUUAUAUUGAAAGAUGAAGCCCCAUUAGAAAGCAGCUGGUAAAUUACAUUUGGUUAAGCCUCUCUAUGUGUGUGUCUGUGUGUGGAAGUGUGUGUUUGUGUAUGAAUGAAGAAGAAAAAAAAUCAUCUGGUUUAUUGCAACAUAGCAGGCCCUAGCUCAUUUUGGCAAGUCAAUAUGGGCACCCGAGGGUAAUCUACAUGCAACUAUUUAUGAGGCUGACUCCACCAGCUCGCUGCGUUCGCCGAGGCCAACCGAGAAAAGUGCAGCUGACAUGAUUCUGGUAGAACAAAGACAUCUUGUUGUGUCUGUGUGUGUACAGCUGAUGAUGUGUUUGUGUGUAUAGUUUAUUAUGUCAGUUCAGUUGCAGAUUCCCCGUAGUGGCGCUCGCACGUCUCACAGGGUCACAGAGGCUUUUUGAAGCAGAUGUGCAGAGUUUCUUCGGCUUGAUGGUUACAGGAGAUGCAGCUUCUCAGGUGAGCGAGUAAUUGAUUUGAUGCAGAGCCGCUGUAAAUGCAGAAGAAAAAAUACAGCAGCUCUUUUACAGGAAAACAAUCGAUCCAGUUGUAUCACGUUUAUCUUCCUUGUAGGGAUGCACGGUAUGGAUUUUGUUACAGCUGAUAACAAAUAACUACCUGCCCGUCAUGGCUGGUAAUGAAAACAUAAUCGGUUAUUUCACAUCGCGCAGUUUUGAGUAAAGAUUAGGACUUGUUGUUUUUGCAGGGUCAGGAAAACCCAGAUGAGGAACCUGAGGGCUUUUUGCAUGAGAGAGGAAUUAAUAGUGCAGAAACACUGUGACUGUCUUAGCUGUGGACCUCAAUAUAAUCUCACAAAAACACAGUAGGACAGGACAUCCAUGCAGAGAAAAAUGAGCUUUCUUUCUUUUCCUUUCUUUCUAUUUUUCUUUCUUCCCUCCUUACUUUCUCCCUUCAUUCCUUCUUCCUCCUCCAGAUGAGUCCUUUAUUAGGAUACUUUAAAACUUAAAAAUAAAAGUCAGGGUCAACUCUAACACAGAGAUGACCCUAACUCUUGUAAAAUGUUUUCUCCUCAAUACAACUGUGGUAUUGACAAUGUCUGCACUGGUUGAUACACUCGCGUCCAUAUUAAAUCUCUGGAGGGUUUGUCAACAAAGUGGCCAAGCUGACAUGUAGCCCUUUAAAGUCCUGGUUGACAAUCUAAGAACCAGUUGAAAAAAACUGAGCUGUUGAGGCAGAUUUGAAAAAAGCGUCCCACCCUCCACACACAAACCUCUCUCCUCUGUGCUCCACGAUAACUCCCUCUGAACCUGUAUCACCAUCCCCAUGACACACACCCUCUGGCAGAGCAAGAAGCCAGCCGGCAGAAGAUCCUAUGCUAGCUUGCCUGGACAGCUACCGCGUUGACAUUGCAGAGGGACUAAUAAGAGUUAUUAAUUAAACAUGUGCCACGAUAAAAGGCAAAAUACCUGUUCAACAAAAACUACGCUGUCUUGGCGUCUGUUCGAAGGAUGACCAGAUGUUUAUUCGAGUUAGAUUCCUCACUUGGUCACAUUUCCUCUUUGACUCUGCCCUUUCAUCUGUCGGCUUGUAUUUUCAUAGCCAUUUUGGCGGCGGGGCAAGCAGAGGUGGUUUUUUUUUGCGUCCUUCUCCAUCACAGCUCCUGUAGCUAAGCUGCUACGCUACUUUUACGUUCAGAGCUCCGAGGGCCGGGAGAGUGGGGAGGGGACAAGUCUGAACUACGGGGUGUGUUGAAUACAGCAAGGUGAUUGGAUGGAGAGGCGGAGCAGGAGAUUGACCAAUAGGAGCUGUCCAGGACAGAUGGCCCCCAUUGGCCAAUGUUUUUGCAGCCCUGCACCUGCUAGGGUGAACAGAUUUUUUCCAUUCUUUUUUCUCUUCACUUUGUGGAGAUUGCACUGUAGGACAAUGCUCGCCAUAUAAACGAGAUUUAUAAUAAUUACCAUCUCUCCAAUUGUCAACCAUGCCUUUAAGGUAAUCCACUCAUUGUUGAUAUCUCAAACAACCCCACUCUAAAAAUGGCAAGCCUUGCCUUUAAACUUCAUAGCCAGCACCAACUCCAACCAAAUACAAAGCACACAAGUCAGUUCAUGAACAAAAUUUCCAGUUGCUUACACAUUGUAUUCAUAUUAUGCAAAUGACUCUGGGUCACUUUGUUGACUUGUCAUUCACAGAGCCUUGGCUGUGUAUGAACAGCAAAUGAAUAAUUCCAGGAGUAAAGUGUUGCUAAAUUUGACUAAACUUGUAAUAGAUCAGAACAACACUUUUCAGCUUGAAAGGAUUCAGGCAGCUGAAAGAUAAAAGGGAACAAAUGUAGGUUUUGAUAAUGGUAGAGUUACACCGUCUUGCAGCAUGGGUUUGUGUCAUUGGUCAUUAACAACAAAAACAAAGGAAAGCAUGAAAUUGUCCUGAAAUGCCUAUGAAAUCUGAAAUUUGUCCUCUCUGUGUUCAUGACCAUUUAUAAUCCAACAGAUGUUAGAGAGUCAUUUGUGUGUGUGUGUGUGUGUGUGUGUGUGUGUGUGUGUGUGUGUGUGUGUGUGUGUGUGUGUGUCCUCUGCUGUCAAAUACCCUGACAAAUAAAGAUCUCAAAGUCACUCUUGAAGUCUGUUGCCUGGUUUCUGUAUCCAACGACCAAGCCUGUCUGUCAUUUGCUGGAAUAACUCUUGUUGUAAAGUCAAUCAAGAUCCAAAAGGCUCUGUUGUUACCAAGUCUCACUCAGUAGUUUUCUCACUCUUUGGCUCAGCCCUCCUUUACACACCUUUACUAACCUGAGCUCCCUUCUACUCUCCCGUUCUCAGGUUUCUUCGCUUUUUCCCUUGGAGUAUCGAGUCGCCUUUUUCCUCUAGAAACCCCAGUCCCUAAAGUUGUCGAUGUGAAAAUAAAAAAUAUGAAAUAUCUCUUUAAAAGGGCAUGUUUGAAACAGGUAGUAUUUGGAGAUUUUGUUGUAUCCAGUGGCCAUGAUCUUACACUGAUUUCAAUUCCAAAUCCAGUGGUAAAAGAGCGCACUGUUGCCAUAGCAUUUCUCACCGAUAUAGACACAGGGAUCAACCCAUGAGGUGUGUGUUUGUGUGUGUGCAAACGUAUGGAUCUGCGUUUCCUCUUUUCAUUUUGAAUUUAAUCUUUUUUUCCAAGCCUCAAGUGCCGCAUUACAAUCGAACUUUUCAUGAUUUCUACUGUAGCCACACACUACACACAAGAGAGCAACACAUUAUCCUGGGUGUAAGUGUAUGUGUGUGUAGGGGGAGAAUGGCUGCAUCUUUUCCCGCUCUGCAUCUUCUUCAUGCAUAAACUGCCGAUCCACAAGGGCAGUGAAGUGGUUAUUUACCGUGUCUUGAACAGAAAGGAGGCAGAAACACUUCUCUGUGUUUGCAUGUUUUCGUGUGUGAAUCUUACAAUUGUUUUAAUGUGUGUCCAGGACAGAUGGUAAUAUAUUUGGAGUACCUUUGUGUGAUUUGAUGUUUUUUAUGAAUACAUUGCUCGGGUCGAAGGAUAGCUAUGACUGAUUUUUUGCCACAGUACCUACGAUAGAGUCAAGUCUCAAUCUGCAUACAUGAAUGUUAACAGCUGCAUUUUACUGAAGUAUUCUCAGGGGCCAGAGAGCGUGGGAGAUGUUUUAAAUAUGAGAUGUUUCUCACAGCAAAGGGGAUUUCUGCUUUGAAUAAAAACAUUCAAUGAAAAAUAAAAGUUGGGCGGAUGCUGGAAAUAAUGGACAUCUCACUUCUGAUCAUAUAUUUUCCUCAAACGCCUAUGAUUCAGUUUGUUUUACUCAGCAGGUCUGGAUAAAGGAUAUUUGUAUCCACCACACUGGGGGAGGCUGAAUAAUCCUCAUCACAGGAUUUCCUUUAAAAGCACAGUUGAAAAAAUUAUAUAGAUGUGCAGAAAUACUGUACAUGUGCACUUAAUCUCCUCUCAUAGCAUCUUAAAAAAAGGAGAAUGAGAGGAUGUUAGAACAUAAAGCGUUCUGGUUUCUGAUCACAUAUCACUGAGCUUCUAGAUCUGAGAGCUGCUUUCAGCACAGCUGACCACAAAACUCUUCCAUGUGGCGUCCCCCAAGGCUCCAUACUUGGUCCUAUUUCAUUCUCUUUGCACAUGCUUCCCAAGGGGUUUAUUCUUUGUAAAUACAGACUAUCUGUUCACUUAUAUGAAUUGCAUGUCUUGAUUAUUGUGAUGUACUUUAUGAUGUAUUUUAUGAUGAUGUUAUGUGACCAUAUAUUUCUUAACUCUGGCUUCCCUUUACUGGCUCC
rnacentral:lncRNA from 1 species